GGAUGCAACAUAAGAAUAAAAACAGAAGGUUGCAUGCGUGCACGCUGACCUGUUCGUUGAUCGCUGUAACAUUUACAUAUUUACUGCACAAAUGUGCAGGCGUUAUUAGGCAAAGAAACAAGAGAUCUCUCCCUAUGCAGAGUUCUUUCUCUAUUCCUAUGUUGUUUUUCUGUUCUCGUACUGAGAGCGCUUCAGUUAUCGCUUUCAUGCCCUCCAUCUUUAUAUCUUUAAAAAUCGUUGCAGUUUUGUGGCGCCCCAUAGCAUUAAUUUUAGGAACGUUAUAUAUAAGUAUAGUGUGAAUUCUGAUGCGGUGAAAUAAAUGUAUGUGGUAUGAAUUAUAUAGCAGUAUAGCAGAGGCAAUGAACGGAGUAAUAUUGAUAAUAAAUUCAUUAAGUGUCAUAAUUUCCCAUUACCACUAAUAACUAUUUAGAAUAAUUCGUUACUUUACACGUUUAUCGUCAUUAUCAGUUUGCCUAUAUUGCCAGUACAAUCUACACUUAGAUAAUGUACAAUUGUAUUUACUUAUUCACAACAUAUACACAUUUAUAAUAAACUUCCGUUUAUCAUUUACGUAUUUGUGUACUUGUCUCGGUAUCCCUUUUUCCGAUCGAGUGCGAUGUAACGAAAGAAGAAGAUAUUGUUAAGUGACAUUCAAAUGAACCGAUAAAAAGUUUGAUGGCCUUGACAUUCUAGUAAAUAAUGCUGGAGUUGCUUGUGUCACACCUAUUAUCGACUUAAAAACCGAAGAAUACCGUAGAGUCAUUGAUACCAACUUAAUAGCACCAGCAAUUCUAGCACGAGAAGCUAUAAAAUCUAUGAAAAAGCGCAACGCUUGCGGCCAUAUAAUUAAUAUCUCCAGCGUAGCCGGAUUACAUCUUGAAGCUAUAGCCAUACCGAUCGGCAUGUACGGUCCUAGUAAAUACACGUGGCCAAGCUGAACAUCAAAAUCACGAAAUACAAGAAAAUGAAAAUUUACAAAGAUGUGGGAAUAUUUAAAAUCUAAAUUUAACAGAUGGCGUUGAUAUACAGGGUGGUUGGUAACUGGGAGUACAAGCGGAAAGGGAGUGAUUCUACGCGAAAAAAGAGGUCGAAAAUAUAGAAUAAAAAUUUUUCGUUUGAGACUUUGUUUUCGAGAAAAUCGCCGAGGGUCAUUCUGCUCUUUGAAUAACAUGUCUGUCAGGAUGUCGACGAUUGGGAUACCGGUGUCUGUAAUGAUUACUGUCUGUUUUAAUGUCCACUGUUUACAGGUGCUAAGUGGUAACUAACUGUUGUAACUCCUACAUUGUUUGCAUUUAACAAUUGACGGUCUGAAGUUACAAAGGUCAAAUAUACAGCUAUGUUAUUCCAAAGAGACAAACCGAAUAGAAGAACAAUAUGCGUAUAAGAUGUUUGUAAUUCGAUUUACAAAUCAUCGUCUUAACCUUUGUCUGCUACUGUAAAUGUCAGAAUAAGUUGAGGGAUAUCUUGGUAAAUAUUCGAUUAACAUUAUAUAUUUAGGUUAUUUCCACUAUUACGUUAUUAUGUUUUAUGUAAAAAAACGGAAGAAUCAUGAGUGCGAUUUUGAAUCUUCAAUGCAAAAUGAUAAAAGUAGAAUGUUUGGAGAAAUAAAACAUUCUACACUUUAUUAAACCAAUUGUCCUAUUUGAUAAAUGAGAAAAAUUCGGAAAAGGACGUUUUAUUUUUCAUUCUAAAUUAAAUAUUAUCUUGUUAUGCAAAAAGCGCGCACAGUAGGCUUAGCCUACAUAUACAUUAAGACUGAAACUCAUACAUUUUACGACGUGUUACGUCAUCGUAGUUUUUAGAUUGGUAUUGGUUUCCAAAGUUUAAAUUUUGAAAAAGUAUGUUAAUUGCCAGGUCUCACCCAGUGGAAGUAGCUACAUACUACACCUACUCGAACUCCCAAAUCCACACAUCUUCCAUUAUGCUUUUAUUUACCGUUUCGAUUUUAUUUGAAUACUGUUGUUUUUGCUAAGUUUUCCCUUCUUUUCUUUUUUUUUCAUUGAGUAUAUCAGUUGUGUGUUAACUGUGCCCAGUAGUUUUGGAUUUUGCUACACGCGUAGUUAGUCAAGAAGUAAUAAAAUUCACGAUUUAAUGAAUUAAUAUUAAACUUUUGAAGCUUGACAUUCUUACACACACUUUUUCGUAUUGGCGUCCAGCUGUUCGCGGAAUCGUUCAAAGAUCGCCUAUCAGAGACGACCUUGAUUCUUGAAACUGUUCACGAACGAUGAUGAUAAAAUGUACAUGUUAAAAUACUAUCGUGCAAGUGCUUACUUAUGUUAUAUUUAGUUCGGAAAUAAUAUU